rnacentral:rRNA from 1 species
GACGAACGCUGGCGGCGUGCUUAACACAUGCAAGUCGAACGAUGAAGCCGGAGCUUGCUCUGGUGAAUUAGUGGCGAACGGGUGAGUAACACGUGAGUAACCUGCCCUUGACUCUGGGAUAACUGCUAGAAAUGGUAGCUAAUACCGGAUACGACCCUCGGAGGCAUCUCCAGGGGGUGGAAAGAAUUUCGGUCAAGGAUGGACUCGCGGCCUAUCAGCUAGUUGGUGAGGUAAUGGCUCACCAAGGCGACGACGGGUAGCCGGCCUGAGAGGGUGACCGGCCACACUGGGACUGAGACACGGCCCAGACUCCUACGGGAGGCAGCAGUGGGGAAUAUUGCACAAUGGGCGCAAGCCUGAUGCAGCAACGCCGCGUGAGGGAUGACGGACUUCGGGUUGUAAACCUCUUUUAGUAGGGAAGAAGCGAAAGUGACGGUACCUGCAGAAAAAGCACCGGCUAACUACGUGCCAGCCGCCGCCGUAA